AACAAACGCUGGCGGCGUGCCUAAUACAUGCAAGUCGAACGGGGAAAGCUUUCGGGUGAGUACUAGUGGCGCACGGGUGAGUAACGCGUGGAUAAUCUGCCUUGAAGAGGGGGAUAACCAGUCGAAAGAUUGGCUAAUACCGCAUAAGACCACAGGAACUGAGGUUCUAGAGGUCAAAGGUUUUUCGCUCUAAGAUGAGUCCGCGUAAGAUUAGCUAGUUGGUGAGGUAACGGCUCACCAAGGCGACGAUCUUUAACUGGUCUGAGAGGAUGAUCAGUCACACUGGAACUGAGACACGGUCCAGACUCCUACGGGAGGCGGCAGUAGGGAAUAUUGCACAAUGGAGGAAACUCUGGUGCAGCGACGCCGCGUGAGUGAUGAAGGCCUUCGGGUCGUAAAGCUCUGUCGCAGGGGAAUAACACAAUGAAUGUACCCUGUAAGAAAGGAUCGGCUAACUUCGUGCCAGCAGCCGCGGUAAAAC
rnacentral:rRNA from 1 species